GUAUAUCCUUAACCAACAUCUAUCAACCAUCUUGAAUGUAUGGGAAGGAAAAAACAACAGUGUAGUCGGCUUGUCUGGGCUUUGAGACUGCUUUGUGUCGGUGAUGCAAUGACCAAAGUUCAGCCCAGUGAUUUUGCGAUAAAACCAGUAUGAGUGAGGGGUUGCUUCCCAGAUCCUCUUAAUUUGUUUUGAGAAUUUAGAAAUGCCUGUAAUCAUUGGGUAAACCAACAGUCUUGAACGGACAACAAUGACGACCGCCUACUUAGAAGGAAAACAAAACUCUCUCUCGUGUCUCCAUGUUAACAUGACUGGAAAUUGAACGUAGGGGGAUCUAGCAUGUGAUUACUCUUUUUAGACAGGAUUUUCUUCAUAGCUGAAUUGGACCGAGUCCUUUUUCUCCCAAACCAGAUGGAACACUGAAACUGUAUCAAGAAUGUAUUCUCCCUCGUGCCCUACCACACAGAAAAAUCACGCAAUCAAGUUCCCCAUUUGAGUGUGUGAGGAGAAGCAUAUUUCCUGUCUCCUCCCUUUGCCUGCUUCGUCCUUCUAGAUUUGGGCUCUCUGGGACAGAGCUGUCUGCCACCGCGCGCGAGGCUGUGAGCGCUGCUGUACUGGAGAGAGCCAGCUGUCGUUGCAGUCUGCUCCUUGGGCGUUUCUUCGAGGGCUGAGUUAGAAGGCUG
rnacentral:lncRNA from 1 species